rnacentral:rRNA from 1 species
UACGGGGGGGGCAAGCGUUGUUCGGAAUUACUGGGCGUAAAGGGCUCGUAGGCGGCCAACUAAGUCAGACGUGAAAUCCCUCGGCUUAACCGGGGAACUGCGUCUGAUACUGGAUGGCUUGAGAUCGGGAGAGGGAUGCGGAAUUCCAGGUGUAGCGGUGAAAUGCGUAGAGAUCGGGAGGAACAUCUGUGGCGAAGGCGGCCAUCUGGACCAGCACUGACACUGAGGCACGAAAGCGUGGGGAGCAAACAGG